CCUACGGGUGGCUUCAGUGGGGAAUAUUGGACAAUGGGGGGAACCCUGAUCCAGCCAUGCCGCGUGUGUGAAGAAGGCCCUCGGGUUGUAAAGCACUUUCAGUGAGGAAGAACGCCUGGUGGUUAAUACCCAUCAGGAAAGACAUCACUCACAGAAGAAGCACCGGCUAACUCCGUGCCAGCAGCCGCGGUAAUACGGAGGGUGCGAGCGUUAAUCGGAAUUACUGGGCGUAAAGCGCGCGUAGGUGGCUUGAUAAGCCGGUUGUGAAAGCCCCGGGCUCAACCUGGGAACGGCAUCCGGAACUGUCAAGCUAGAGUGCAGGAGAGGAAGGUAGAAUUCCCGGUGUAGCGGUGAAAUGCGUAGAGAUCGGGAGGAAUACCAGUGGCGAAGGCGGCCUUCUGGACUGACACUGACACUGAGGUGCGAAAGCGUGGGUAGCAAACAGGAUUAGAUACCCCGGUAGUC
rnacentral:rRNA from 1 species